GAAAUAUAAGAAAAGUGAGAGCUGCUAACUUAUCAUUGUAGUGGUUAAAUUCCAUUAGUAUUUCU
rnacentral:tRNA from 1 species